AUCCUGUACAGAAACAAGCAUGAAGCCUCCCCUUCGUUUACCAUGUCAACAGGUGGAAGCCGGUGUUGAAACCUUCCUUUCUGGUAUGGAACCGGGACGACCCCUCCUUCCUGUCUGUUGGUGAAAACAAGAGCAGCAUCCAAAGAUACUACGUCAUCACCGCCAUCCCUUUGCAAGGCACUGACAUUCUUGGCAGCUUUCAAAGAGGUCUUCAAAGCACACUUCAUCUUCAGGCCUUCAGAUUUCAUGCUCCAGCCGACCAGCGUACAUCCGUCAUCUGUACAUUUCUAAAGAUCUGGGGGAGUCUGAGGCCGGCUCUGUUUGGCCAAGACCGCCACGCAAUACAAAGAUCAAUGAUCGGCGAGGUUUCUGUUGAGAGGUACUUCCUGUUCGCCAUCACUCCUGAUAAAUGGACAGGAAACGGCUGGAUCAAGUCCACACAUCACCAGGCCGUG